rnacentral:tRNA from 1 species
GCCUGGGUGGCUCAGUUGGUUGAGCGUCUGACUUCAGCUCGGAUCAUGAUCUCAGAGUCCUGGGAUCAAGCCCCGAAUCGGGCU